UACAGACCCAAGGGUGCAGUGUCGUUUCAUUGAAUUUUGCAGGUGCAGCGUGUAGAUUGCACUUCUGGACCCUGUUCCAGAGGGCGGUUCGUCAGAACCCAGGACCCCCAGCCCGCCAGGACCGACGGUCGCUGAAGCCUGCGAACAAGGCGGGCAUUGAGCGGAGCUUGCUGCCCCGACAACCGGACGUCCGGUCUGCGAGGAAACCUUAUUCAUUCAUGUAAUAUGUCCCUAAGGUCAUAGCGGGAGCACAGCUCGUAACGGGAGCGUCGCUAACAGCGCAAGGAUGCGUUCCGUAAGCGAACGACAGAGCUUUUUUUGCAUCAGAACCGUUGUUAAAAUCCUCGAGCGACAUCACAGCUCUGGCAGGAUCGCCACAGAAAGUCCUCCCCGACGUGAUGGUCGCAGUCAUCCUGAAUAAAUCCAGAUAACUAAUCGAGCCUCAAGGAUAGUUAAGGCCAACGAGCACGUUAACAGGAUGGUAUGCCUCAGAUAUGUCGGAGUAGCAUCCUCUGAACAUCAUCAAGGACCUAAAACUACCAUCGACUUACCGGCAGCCACCACACACAGGAACUAAAACCCGUCCCGUCCAGCAAUCCCCUCGCAGUCUCGAUGAUCCCCGGUCCUCCAAGCCCUCCAUUUUGAAAAUCUCCAUGACCGGAAGGGCAACUCUAUGGCCGGAAGUCCUCCAGGGCACCAGGAAGUCCUCCAAAUCCGCCGGAACCCCCGUCUCCAUGACCGGAAGUCCUCCAACGGACCACUGAAGUCCGCCAACUCCGACGGGAAACAUUGUCCCGAGAACCCGGAAGUGCCC